rnacentral:misc_RNA from 1 species
UCCGUGUUAACCACGGCAGUCUCCUUAGAGAGCCCAACUGAAUGCUGGCAACUAAGGACAAGGGUUGCGCUCGUUGCGGGACUUAACCCAACAUGUCACCACACGAGCUGACGACAGCCAUGCAGCACCUGUCAUCCUGCUGUAUUGCUACAGAAGCCCGAUCUCUCGGGUUGUCAGGAGAUGUCAAAUCCAGGUAAGGUUCUUCGCGUUGCUUCGAAUUAAACCACAUGAUCCACCGCUUGUGCGGGCCCCCGUCAAUUCCUUUGAGUUUUAAUCUUGCGACCGUACUCCCCAGGCGGUCGACUUCACGCGUUAGCUGCGGUACUAAGGAAGUCUCCUUCCCCAACACCUAGUCGACAUCGUUUAGGGCGUGGACUAC